UUUGGGCCUAGUUGGUUGUGGAGCAUAUGAAAACUCCAAAGUUAAGCGUGCUCAGGUGGGAGUAGUACUAUGAUGGGUGACCUCUUGGGAAGUUUCCACCGGGCAACCAAAA
rnacentral:sRNA from 1 species